AGGGAAUAUUGGACAAUGGGCGCAAGCCUGAUCCAGCCAUCCCGCGUGAAGGAUUAAGGCCCUCUGGGUUGUAAACUUCUUUUCUCUGGGAAUAAAAAGUGGGAUUCAUCCUGCCUUGAAGGUACCAGAGGAAUAAGCACCGGCUAACUCCGUGCCAGCAGCCGCGGUAAUACGGAGGGUGCAAGCGUUAUCCGGAUUCACUGGGUUUAAAGGGUGCGUAGGUGGUUUUAUAAGUCAGUGGUGAAAGCCCGGAGCUCAACUCCGGAACUGCCAUUGAUACUGCUUAACUUGAAUCAACUUGAGGUGGAUGGAAUAAUACAUGUAGCGGUGAAAUGCUUAGAUAUGUAUUAGAACACCGAUUGCGAAGGCAGUUCACUAAGGUUGUAUUGACACUGAGGCACGAAAGCGUGGGGAUCAAAC
rnacentral:rRNA from 1 species